rnacentral:rRNA from 1 species
GGGACGGGGGCCAGGCAUUAGCAUAGUAAGUCGAGCGAUGAACCACCUUCGGGUGGCGAUUAGAUGGCGAACGGGUGAGUGCACGUGGGCAAUCUGCCCUGCACUCUGGGACAAGCCCUGGAAACGGGGUCUAAUACCGGAUACUGAUCCUCGUAGGCAUCUGCAAGGUUCGAAAGCUCCGGCGGUGCAGGAUGAGCCCGCGGCCUAUCAGCUUGUUGGUGAGGUAAUGGCUCACCAAGGCGACGACGGGUAGCCGGCCUGAGAGGGCGACCGGCCACACUGGGACUGAGACGCGGCCCAGACUCCUACGGGAGGCAGCAGUGGGGAAUAUUGCACAAUGGGCGAAAGCCUGAUGCAACGACGCCGCGUGAGGGAUGACGGCCUUCGGGUUGUAAACCUCUUUCAGCAGGGAAGAAGCGAAAGUGACGGUACCUGCAUAAGAAGCGCCGGCUAACUACGUGCCAGCAGCCGCGGUAAUACGUAGGGCGCAUAGCGUUGUCACGGAAUUUAUUGGGAGUAAAGAGCUCGUAGGCGGCUCGUCACGUCGGUUGUGAAAGCCCGGAGAUUAACCCCGGUGUAUGCAGUCGAUACCGUGCAGAACUAGAGUUACGGUAGGGGAGAUCGGAAUUCCUGGUGUAGCGGUGAAAUGCGCAGAAUAUCAGGAGGAACACCGGUGGCGACAGGCGGAUCUCUGGGCCGAUACUGACGAUGAGGAGCGAAAGCGUGGGGAGCGAACAGGAUUAGAUACCCUGGUAGUCCACGCCGUAAACGGUGGGCACUACGUGUGGGCAACAUUCCACGUUGUCCGUGCCGCAGCUAACGCAUUAAGUGCCCCGCCUGGGGAGUACGGCCGCAAGGCUAAAACUCAAAGGAAUUGACGGGGGCCCGCACAAGCGGCGGAGCAUGUGGCUUAAGUCCACGCAACGCGAAGAAACCUUACCAAUGGCUUUGACAUACACCGGAAAACCCUGGAGACAGGGUCCCCCUUGUGGUCGGUGUACAGGUGGUGCAUGGCUGUCGUCAGCUCGUGUCGUGAGAUGUUGGGUUAAGUCCCGCAACGAGCGCAACCCUUGUCCCGUGUUGCCAGCAGGCCCUUGUGCUGUUGGGGACUCACGGGAGACCGCCGGGGUCAACUCGGAGGAAGGUGGGGAGGACGUCAAGUCAUCAUGCCCCUUAUGUCUUGGGUUGCACACGUGCUACAAUGGCCGGUACAAUGAGAUGGGAUACCGCGAGGUGGAGCGAAUCUCAAAAAGCCGGUCUCAGUUCGGAUUGGGGUCUGCAACUAGACCCCAUGAAGUCGGAGUCGAUAGUAAUUGCAGAUCAGCAUUGAUGCGGUGAAUACGUUCCCGGGCCUUGUACACACCGCCCGUCAUGUCACGAAAGUCGGUAACACCUGAAGCCGGUGGCCCAACCCCUGUGGAACAGCCUUCCCUAUUAGCUUUCCCCAGG